UGCUCGGAGAAGUUUGGCUUUGAUUGAAGAAAGAAUUUAGCCUAUAUGUACUGCUUUAACCACUGGAAGAAUGACAGAUGACAAAGAUGUACUUCGAGAUGUGUGGUUUGGAUGAAUUCCAACUUGCUUCACUCUGUACCAGGAUGAGAUAACUGAAAGGGAAGCAGAAGCAUAUUAUUUGCUUUUGCCAAGAGUAAGUUAUUUGACGUUGGUAACUGACAAAGUGAAAAAGCAUUUUCAGAAGAUUAUGAGACAAGAAGACAUUAGUGAGAUAUGGUUUGAAUAUGAAGGCACACCACUGAAAUGGCACUAUCCAGUUGUUUUGCUGUUUGAUCUUCUUUCAUCGAAUUCAGCUCUUCCUUCGAAUAUCACAGUACAUUUUAAGAGUUUUCCAGAAAAGGACCUUCUCCACUGUCCAUCUAAAGAUGCAAUUGAAGCUCAUUUUAUGUCUUGUAUAAAAGAAGCUGAUGCUUUAAAGCAUAAAAGUCAAGUAAUUAAUGAAAUGCAGAAAAAAGAUCACAAGCAGCUUUGGAUGGGACUACAAAAUGACAGAUUUGACCAGUUUGGGACCAUCAACCAGAAACUCAUAGAAUAUCCAGCAGCAGAAAAUGGAUUUCGUUCUAUCACUUUUAGAAUAUAUCAGUACUCCAGAUCACAGUUAAUGUGA